CGUGUGUGCGCGCCGGGCCGGCGAGCUGCGGGGCGGGGGAGCGGCGCCCCAGAGCGCCCCGCCUCGCCUCCCGCGCGCAGCCUCUGCCCUGCUCCGCCACAGACACACACCCACCAAGCACCCACCGCCCUCCGCCCUCCGCCCCCGCGGCCACCGCUGCUGCCGCGCCUCGGGCAGCCCCAGAGAGCGGCAACUCCCGGGCUGGCGCGACUCGCUUUCCGGCUCCUUCCGCGCGGCGAGCUCAGCCCCGCUCGAUUUUUCCUUUUCGGUUCCAGCCCUCUCUCGUCUGGGUGGCGGUGGCGGCGGCAGGGGGAUGGGGACCCCGCGUGGGGAAGAGGGUGAAGAUCGACGAAGAUUAUUGUUCUUUUAAAGGAUGCCUUAGCUUCCUCCCGCCGCCUCUCCUCUGAGCCUUCCUACUAGAGACCGGGAACCAGAGUCAGGGAUGUAAAGACUGGGGGAAAGCACGCCAGGAGCUCCAGCCAGCCGGGGAGACCCUCCUCUUUGCGGAGGGGAGGGGGAUUUCCAGCGACAGAUCAUUGGCGAAGGGGAUCGUCGCGGGGAGAGGCUCCCUGGAGGGAGCGGGGAAUCCCGCAGCCCUUUGUGGUGCCCGAGCCCGUGCCGCCUGCUGAGCGGGGUCUGUGGGAGCUAGCCGUGUCAGUGGAAAUGCCUGCCCCAGAGGGAUAUUGCUUCAGCUGACCUCAUUUUUUAAGGACCGUGGCUCUGCGGCUCUGUCCAGUUCAAAAUGGCAGAAAAGGCUCCCCCUGGCUUAAACAGGAAGACUUCGAGGUCGACCCUUUCUCUUCCUCCGGAGCCGGUGGACAUUAUCCGGAGCAAAACAUGCUCCAGGAGAGUGAAAAUCAACGUGGGGGGCCUCAACCACGAAGUCCUGUGGAGAACGCUGGACAGGCUGCCCAGGACACGCCUGGGGAAGCUUCGAGACUGCAACACACACGAGAGCCUCCUGGAAGUGUGUGACGACUAUAAUCUGAGUGAGAAUGAGUAUUUCUUUGAUCGGCAUCCGGGCGCCUUCACUUCCAUUUUAAAUUUCUACCGGACAGGGAAGCUCCACAUGAUGGAAGAAAUGUGUGCGCUUUCUUUUGGCCAAGAACUGGAUUACUGGGGGAUCGAUGAGAUCUACUUAGAGUCCUGCUGCCAGGCCAGAUAUCAUCAAAAAAAAGAACAAAUGAACGAAGAACUGAGGCGAGAGGCCGAGACUAUGCGAGAGCGAGAAGGAGAAGAGUUUGAUAACACCUGCUGCCCUGAUAAAAGAAAGAAACUCUGGGACUUGCUGGAGAAGCCGAACUCGUCCGUGGCUGCAAAGGUAUGAAACCCAUGGCAUUACUUGCUUGUGUGUGACGAGAAAAGAUGCUACCUGUAUUCUAGAGAGCGUAACGUUUUUUACUAUUUUGGUAACACAGAGCCAAGUGUGGCUCCACAGACAGUGAAAAAAUCCUUUCGAAAAUCCUAUUUAGUCCAAUAUAGUCAUUAAUCCUGGGUAAUGUCGUAAAAUGCCAUUACCCUUUCAUGAAUAUUAUUGUCUUUAGAAAGAGGCCUGGGCAACAGACGAUGAAAAGAGAGUCCUGGUUUUGCUGGCGCUGUAUAGUGUGGGUGACUUGGAGGCUGAGGAGGAAGCCCUAGCUCAGACCCAUCAGACACCGGGUCUUGUGGAAGACCAGGGCAUGGCCGCCAUCUUGAACCCAGGGAAGGUACUGUCGUUGGAAGGAGAGGAGGUCCCUCUUAGCCUGGCUCUGUAGAGGUUCAAGAAAAGAGACGAGAGCACGGCCUCAGGUAGCUCGGAGGGCAGGCACUGCACACAUGAGGAAGGGACUGUUUUAUUAAGCUGUGUAAGAAAUGAGUCAAUGUCCAAACUGCAUCCACAUACCCCACCUGGUUAGGCCUCCUCUAACAGUGCAUUUUUCUGACUGUUGAUGAAUAAUUUUUUUUUUUUUUUUUUUUUUUUUUUACAAUGGAGGUAUUACCAUGUCUCAGAGUUCGUAAAGUAUUUGCUUAAAAUGAAGGUAAAGUCCUGUUUUCCCAUUGUGACUACAUAUAUCUAAAUCUCACAGUAAAUCUUUUGUCACUAAUUUCAGUAUGUAAUUCAACUGCAUGAUUCUGUCUAAUUUUAUCUAGAGCUUUCAGGGUUAGCCCAAACCAAUUUCCAUUCCACAUAUUUAGUUCUGUAUUGCAGUAUGAAUGAUAAGUAAAAAUUCAACAAAGCUGUAUUUAGCUACAUGAGUAUAGUAUUGACAUUUCGUGCAUAAUGGAUGAAAAUGGAGUAUGGAAUGGAGAAGGGAAGAGUGUGUCAUCACAUGGAUUCUUUUGAUUAUUUACCGUUUUUUCUAAUACCUUCUCUCUUGUAAAUAGUAAUGAUUUCAGAAGUCAUAAUAGACCAUCUGAGAUUUUGGACUAGAUAUUAAGAUUCUACAUGAUAAUCUACAGCAUGUAGAUAAUUAGCGAAUGCAGAUGAUCAUAAAACUGCUUCUUUUUUGGUUUUGUUUCUGGUUGACUUCAAAAGGCAUUUUACUUUCCAGCCAGGCCAUGCACGUAAGUGAAAUAAAAUGAUAUCUGUUGUAUAUAACAAAGAAAUGCAUAUAUUUUGUGGCAAAUGGAAGACUUCAACUAGGUUUUUUUGUAGUUUUGGAUAAGUUGCUCACUUUAAUUUUACUUGUAAUAAAAAAAUAAACGUGCCACAUUUGUGGGCUUUGAUUGAGAAAGGAUACUGUUCUUUCCAAUAUCAAGUAUUUAGUUACAUGCUCGAGUUACUACUAAAAAUAUGGAGUGAAUUUUGAAAAUGAAUGAGACAGAUUCUGGGUUUAAGUGAGUGUUGUGGGUGUUAAAUGAAUUCUUUCAAGCCUUUAGGCAACUAAGGAAUAAAUCAUUGUUUCAUCAAAAGUUCCAGAGAAAGUUAGCCAACUAUAUAAAGAUAAAGCAAUUAAGUCAAAGAAAAUUUGAAAGGUUACUGUGGUUUAUUUGUUCAUAAUGACAUUAUUAACAUAUAUCUAAAGUUAAGUACGGCUACAGAAAAACGUUUAAGAUAUAUGUAUUAUUUUCCUGAAGAAUUUCUCACAAGGAUAGAAUAAGGUCAAUAACCUGAUUUCCUAAACAAGGGAGUUCAUUUAAUCUGUAAAUUUUAGAAGAAACAGCAAUUUCUUAAUCUCUGAGAAGGUAAUUAUGACCAUGGCUCAUUACAAUAGAGCUUUAUAUAUGCAUCUGACAGAUUAUUUAAAUUUGCUUCAAGUUAUGUCUGUAUGUACAGAUAAGAAAUCUGCCUACAAACUUUACCCAGCAGCUAAAGACAUUGAUUUUGAAAAAUUUUAUGUAGUUCUAAAUGGUAAAUGUGUUUCCACAUUGUUAAUCAAGCUAAGUCAAUCUUCUCUGUAAGUUGAUUCUUUACUAAAUUUUCAUAAAGGAUUUGUGUUUGUUUAUUUAUAUGUCUACAUUUUCCUCUCUGCUUGAACGUUGGAAUAUUAUGGAAAUUAUUUACAUUUGAUUAUAUAGUAGUUUAGUGAAGUUAUUGUUCGUUUGUCUGAGGUUCAGAGCCUUUUAAAAAUGGCUCUGUGUGAUGCCUUAUAUAAACCACUACCUUUUCCUUUGCUCUUCUCGAGUCCUGUAACUUGUUUUUUUCUUUCUGGAGUAAUUCUUGGUGAGGGGAGUGGUAAUGCAGGUAUGUGUGGUUAGUAGGUUCACAACUUAAGAACAAGUAGUAGUAUUACAGCUGCAGUAGGAUGAUAUUCUUGCUCUCAUUAUUUAUUUUAUGGGUUCAUCAGGCUCUUCCCUAUGUUAUGUGGCCCUUGUGUAGGAAUGCUUGGAACCUUCAUGUUCUUCCUCACUUGCUUAGGAGGUAAGUUAGCUUUGUAGCAGAGUAUCUGUGGUCCUUGCCUUUCCAAUUUUUGCUUAUUCAGUUUGGUAAUUUAGUUGAACAUAUGCUCUAUGUGUGCCAUACACAUUAAGGUAGAUACUUAGACACUCCAUUCUUUCCAGAAUUUAAAAAUAUUCUUAAAAUAUUAUCUUAUCUUUAACUGGGAUUUCAUAUCAUUGAAAAUAUUUGUGUUUUUCUCUUUCUGUUUUUAUAUAACUUGUAAGAUUCCUGUAAUGAAGAAAGUAUAAAAGCUCUAAGAUUAUUUGCCAUAUCCGUACGGAAGGAAAAACUUCACCAUCUCUAUCAUGUGUUGCAUAACAGGCUAAAAUACUUAUUCUUUGAUAUGAAAUAAAUAAUAAUCAGUUAAGUAAUAAUUGUUCAGCCUACGCUCUAUGCAUCCCCUAUGAUAUAAAAAAUUAUUACAAGGUCCGUUGACCUAUCAUUUUUGUCUUUGAGUAUUACCCUGACAAUAGCAAGUCAAUUCCUAUGGAACAUAUUCCCUGGUGUCACCUAAGGAGCCAGUUCUCUUACUUGGAUGUUCUGGUGUAUUAAUAACUGAAAAAAAAUCCAAAGCAGAGUUUAACAACGUGGUAGAUCUGAAAUAUCUACAUUUAACAAAUUAACAUUUUUGCACAUAUAUAGAAAACCAUGAAAUAUAAUCAUAGUAUUCAAAAUAUGACAGGGCUAAUAGAGUUAUUUCCUAGUUCUCUGGGAUACUGUAUGAUUUGGUAAUGGGACACAUCAGCUGUAUGAUGGACUCUGUCUUUGUUGACUCUUGUCAGUGUAUCUUGGUGUUUGUGCAUGCCCUCAUAUAGAAAUAAUGUACUGUUUAAAUGUGAGGUGGUUUGUGAAUGUGUGGCUCAGCUGAAUGGGCCCAUGGCUGGAACAACUCCCUGGGUUACCACGACAGGAAUCGCUGGCUUUAGUGUGCCUUUCAUAGGAUUGUGCAAGGGGAAGCAAAGGGCUCAACUGCCUGCCAGUUUCCUGGGCAAAAAUUGGAAUUAGACUUGAUCCUGUAUCUCUUCCAGGCCAGGACAAUUUAGUCUCUGGACUGGAAACAUUUUUCUCUAUUUUCCUUGGCCUCUUCCCAAAGAAACUGCAGUAGCUAUUUCCCUGUAAAUAUUGCAUAUAGUGACUUCAGUCCAAGAGGUGUUUAAAAGCAUUUUUGGGAAAUGGGUCUUGUGGCAGGCAGUAUUCUCAGCCUUUGG